rnacentral:rRNA from 1 species
CGCUGGCGGCGUGCCUAAUACAUGCAAGUCGAACGGUCUUUCUAUGGAAGCUUGCUUCCACUGAGAGGAUAGUGGCGAACGGGUGAGUAACACGUGGGUAACCUGCCCAUAAGAGGGGGAUAACAUCCGGAAACGGGUGCUAAUACCGCAUAGUUUUCUUGAUCGCAUGAUCGGGAAAGGAAAGACGGCCUUUGUGCUGUCGCUUAUGGAUGGACCCGCGGCGUAUUAGUUAGUUGGUGAGGUAAUGGCUCACCAAGACGAUGAUACGUAGCCGACCUGAGAGGGUGAUCGGCCACAUUGGGACUGAGACACGGCCCAAACUCCUACGGGAGGCAGCAGUAGGGAAUCUUCCGCAAUGGACGAAAGUCUGACGGAGCAACGCCGCGUAAGUGAAAAGAAGGUUUUCGGAUCGUAAAACUCUGUUGUCAGAGAAGAACAAGUUGGAGAGUAACUGCUCCAGCCUUGACGGUAUCUGACCAGAAAGCCACGGCUAACUACGUGCCAGCCGCGGC